rnacentral:misc_RNA from 1 species
UGGUGGCCAUUUCAUAGUACUG